ACCGCUGAUGGUGACGAUAAGAGGCUAUAUUAGAAAGUCCUUCUUCUGAGGAUAUCUUAAAACACGAUUUUAGUCAGAAGCUCAGAAAGUAUUUCCCCAUGACCCCAUGAUUAUGUGAACUACAUGUUGAUCAAGAAUUAGGGUUUUAUCAUAGAUGGCAAAAUACUUUUCCACUAUAUAAUUGACUCGUGAAGAUGGUUGGAAAAAAAAAAAGGCCAUCAACCCACACCAGUAGCAGAAAGCUUUGUCAAGUAAGGUGAGGAAAUAAAUAAGUCGACAAUCAUGAAGGGACAAGGAAGAAGCUGUGGCUUCGAAUUUUUCAUUAAUAAAAACUAACAUUUAUUGAUAAAAAAAAGAAAGUUGACAAUAAUAAUUCAAGGUUAUGUUGCGUCAAUAGGGUUACCUGAGUUAGGAUGGUACCGGUAGAUGUAUCAUGUAUGAAAUACGAUACUUUUUGUAACGCAAGCAUGUGAAACAUGAAACAAAACAACAUGUACUGAAAAUUUAGAAUUACAGCGGUUUGAGCUAAAUAUUCAAAAUUACAUAAAGUCUGCUUGUAGAAAGAAACAAACAUAAAUGAUUACCAUACAUAACAAUCAAAUUCAACAGACACUUAUUGUGUAACAAAAAAGGAAAAAACGCGCACACACUUUUUUGAGUUGAAAGUGCGGACUGUGUUGUAACAUAACUAGCUAAAUUACCAGUACACGUCCAAUUCGAUGAAUUGAACCCGGAAGAAAGGCGUCACCUUCCCUGUGCCUUUAUGACUUGCCUUGUCUUACUUCUCUCUUCAAAUCAGGGAAGAGAGUAGCAUAGUUUGUCAAAACUGGAUUUAGUUAUAUCAUCAUCUUCAUUCUCUUCUUUCUCCAUGUCCUACUUUUGCUCCUUUGCUUGGCUUAUGGGUGGGCUUACUUCUACGAUUCCAGCAUAUAAAUCCUCUCAAUAUACAAAGAUUCUUGGGUGGAAAUCCGACAAUUUUCAACACAGUGCAAGGAUUUUAAAUGCACACUAAAGAGAUCACAAAUCUACAAAAAUGAAAAAGUACAUAAAUUGCAUUCAAGAUCAAAUGGUUUCCUCCCCUCAAAAAGUAUUUUGUUAUGAAGAUAUGCUUAUCCCCAUCAUCAAGAAGAAAAUUAUUAUUCUUUUGCUUUAGAUAAAAAUAAAAUAAAAAAUAUUCUAAAAGAAAGUGAGAAAGGAGGCAAAGGACGACAAAUAACGACAAGUGUAAAAAUA
rnacentral:lncRNA from 1 species